GCGAGGAUUUUUUAACCUCAAAGCCAAGCGGCUAAGGCGAGAGGCUGCAACCCUCUUAUUCGGCGGUUCGAAUCCGCCUCCUCGCU
rnacentral:tRNA from 1 species